rnacentral:rRNA from 1 species
AGUGAACGCUGGCGGUAGGCCUAACACAUGCAAGUCGAACGGCAGCACAGUAAGAGCUUGCUCUUACGGGUGGCGAGUGGCGGACGGGUGAGGAAUACAUCGGAAUCUACUUUUUCGUGGGGGAUAACGUAGGGAAACUUACGCUAAUACCGCAUACGACCUACGGGCGAAAGCAGGGGAUCUUCGGACCUUGCGCGAUUGAAUGAGCCGAUGUCGGAUUAGCUAGUUGGCGGGGUAAAGGCCCACCAAGGCGACGAUCCGUAGCUAGUCUGAGAGGAUGAUCAGCCACACUGGAACUGAGACACGGUCCAGACUCCUACGGGAGGCAGCAGUGGGGAAUAUUGGACAAUGGGCGCAAGCCUGAUCCAGCCAUACCGCGUGGGUGAAGAAGGCCUUCGGGUUGUAAAGCCCUUUUGUUGGGAAAGAAAAGCAGCAGGUUAAUACCCCGCUGUUCUGACGGUACCCAAAGAAUAAGCACCGGCUAACUUCGUG